GUUUGGGUUAGGGUAGGGUUAGGAUUAGGGUUAGGGUUAGGGUUAGGGUUAGGGUUAGGGUUAGGGUUAGGGUUAGGGUUAGGGUUGGGGUUAGGUUAGGGUUAGGGUUAGGGUUAGGGUUAGGGUUAGGGGUAGGGUUAGGUUUAGGGUUAGGGUUAGGGUUAGGGUUAGGGUUAGGGUUGGGUUAGGGUUAGGGUAGUGUUAGGGUUAGGGUUAGCUUUAGGGUAGUGUUAGGGUUUUUGUUAGGGUUAGGGUAAGUGUUAGGGUUGGCGUUAGUGUUACGGUUAGGGUAGGGUUUGGGUUUGGGUAAGGGUUAGGGUUAGGGUUAGGGUAAGUUUAGGGUUAGUGUUAGGGUUCGGGUUAGGGUUAGGCUUAGGGUUAGGCUUAGGGUUAGGGUUAUGGUUCGGGUUAGGGUUAGGGUUAGCGUUAGGGUUAGUGUUAGGCUUACGGUUAGGGUUAGGGUUGGGGUUAGGGUUUGAGUUCGGGUAGGGUUAGGGUUAGGGUUAGGGUUAGGGUUAGGGUUAGGUUUAGGGUAGGGUUAGGGUUAUGGUUAGGUUUAGGUUUAGGGUUAGGGUUAGGGUUAGGGUUAGGGUUAGGGUAAGGGUUAGGGUAUGGGUCAGGGUAGGGUUAGGGUUAAGGUUAGGGUUAGGGUUCGCGUAGUUUUAGGGUUAGGGUUAGGGUUAGGGUUAGGGUUAUUGAAAGGGUAAGGGUUAAGGUUGUGGUUAAUGUUAUGUUUUGCUUUAGAGUCAGAGUUAGGUUUGUGUUAGGAUUAGGUUUAGCGUUAGGCUUAGGGUAAGAUUAGGGUAUGGGUUACGGUUAGUGAUAGGGUUAGGGUUAUGGUUAGGGUUAGGGUUAUGGUUCCUGUAGAGUUGGAUUGAGGCUAGAGUAGGGGUUUGGGUGGGGUUACAUUUAUGGAUUAGGUUAGGGUUACAUUUAAAAUUAUAUUUAGCAUUUGGGUUGGGGUUAGUGUUAGGGUUAAGGUUAGGGUUAGCUUAAGGUUACGGUUACGGUUAGGGUUAUGUUCGGGUAAGAUUUCGAGUAGGGUUAGGCUUAGUGUAAGGAUUAUGGUUAAGGAUAGGGUUUGGUUUAGGGUUAGGGUUACGGUAGUGUUAGGGUUAGGAUUUGGGUUAGGGUUAGUGUUAAGGUUAGGGAUAGGUUUAGGCAUAGGGUUAGCUUAAAGUUAGGGUUAGUGUUUCGGUUUGGGCAGGGAUAGAGUAAGGGUUAGGGUUGGGGUUAGGAUUAGGGUUAGUGUUAGGGUUUGGUAUGGGUUUGGUUUAGGGUUAGGGUAGGGAAAUGGACAGUGUUUAGCUUAGGGUUAGGGUUAGGGUUAGUUUUAGGGUUAGGGUUAGGGUUAGGGUUAGGUUUAGUUUCCGGAAAGAGUUCGCGUAGGGUUAGGCUCAGUGUUAGGAUUAUGGUUAGGGCUAGGGUUUGAGUUUGAUUGGGUUUAGUGUUAGGGUCAGGGUUAGGAUUCUGUUUAAGUUUAGGGUUAGGGUUAGGGUAGGGUUAGGGUUAGGGUUAGGUGUUAGGGUUAGGUUUAGGGUUAGGGUUUGGGUUAGGGUUUGGGAUAGUGUUAGUGUUCGGGUUGUGGUUCGUUUAGGGUAGUAUUGGGGUUAGAGUUUGGUUUUGGGUUAGGGUUAGGGUUAUUGUUAGGGUUAGGGUUACGGUCAGGGCUAUAGUUAAGGUUAGGAUUAGGGUUAUGGUAUGGGUUAGGGCUGUAGAAUGGGUUAGGGUUAGGGCUAGUGUUAGGUUUAGGGUUAGGAUUAGAUUUAUGUUUAGGCAUAGGCUUCAGGCUAGGUUUAGGCUUAGGGUCCAUGUUGUGGUUAAGGUUCGUGUUAGGAAUAGUAUAGGAGUUAUGUUUUGUAUUAGGGUUAGGGUUAGGGUAAGGGUUAGGGCAGGGUUUAGGGUUUGGUUUAGGUUUUGUGUUUGGGAUCUGGUAGGGGUAGGGGUAGGUUUAGGGUUACGUUUAGCGUUUGGGUUAGGGUUAGGGUUUGUUUUCGGUUUUAAUUUAGGUGUAGGGUUAUGGUUUGACUUAGGCUUGGGUUUCAGAUUAAGUUUAGGGUAAGUGCUGGGGUUAGGCCUAGGGUUACGGUUAGUUAUAGGGUUAGGUUUAGGGUUAGGGUUAGUGUUAGGGGUAUAUUGUUUGGUUUCGGUUAUUGUUAGGUUCAGGGUUUGGUUAGGUUUUGGGUUACGGUAAGGGUUAAGGUUACUUCUAGGUAUAGGUCUAGGGUUAUAUUUACCAUUUGGGUUAGGUUUGUCUUAAAGUUAGGGUUAGGGUUAGCAAAGGGUUAGGUUUAGGGAUUGUCAUAGGUUUAUUGUUAGGGUGAGGUUCAUUGUGCGGUUUAGGGUUAGGGUUAGGGUUUGGGUAAAGUUUAGGGUUAGGGUUCGGUUAGGGUAGGGUUCUGGUUAGGGUGAGGGUUAGGGUUUGGGAUAGAAAUAGGGAUAGGUUUUCGGUUUCAUUAGGGUUAAGAUUAAGGUUAGGCUUAGGUUUAGGGUUCGAUAUAGGUUUAAGGUUAUCGUUAUGGCUUGGGUUAGGUUUACGGUUUGGGUUAAUUUUAGAUUUAGUGUUAUGGCUCGGGUUAAUUUAGGGUUAGGUUUAGGUUUUCUUUUAGGGUUAGGGGUACGGUCAGGGUUUGGAUUAGGGCUAAAGUAAGGGUUAGGUUUAUGGUAACGGUUAAGUUAUGGUUAGUGUUAGGUUUUUUGGUAGUUUUAGGGUUACGAUUAGGCUUCAGCUUAGGUUUAGGGUAAUGUUUAAGGUUAGUCUUAGUUUUAGUGUUAGGGUUAGAAUUAGGGUUACAUAUAAUGUUAAGAUUAGGUUUAAGUUAAGGGUUAGGUUUAGUUUUAGGGUUAGAGUUAGAGUUAAGUUAGGGUUAGGGUUAGGUUUGGGUUUUGGGUUUGGUUUUGGGUUAGGGUUCGGAUUAGGGUUUGGGUUAGGGUUAACUGUAGGAUUAGGUUUAGGGUUUGUUUUAUAUUUAAUGUGUCGGUUAGGUUAAGGGUUAAGUUAGUGUUUGGUUUGGGGUUAGGUUUAGAUUUAGGUUUUGUGUUGAGUUAGGGUUAGGGUUAGAGUUAGGGUUAGUGUUUGCGUUAGGAUUAAGGUUAGGGUUUUGUUUAGGGUUAGGGUUAAGAUCAGGUUUUGGGUUAGUUUUAGGAUUAAGUUUAGGUUUAGGGUUUGGGUUAUGUUUGGGGUUAGUGUUAUGGUUAGGACUAUGGUUAUUGCAAGGGUUAAGAUAGGGUUUGUUUUAAGGUUUUUGUUUCGGUUAUUGUUGAGUUAUGCUUAGGGUUAGGGUUAGUGUUAUGUUAGGGAUUAGGGUUAUGGGCCUAUUUUGGGUUAUGUAGAACAGAAUAAAAUUGAUCUAGGAGGUCUAGUCCAACUAGAUUAUAGAAAAUGGGGAAAUUGUAGAGUGUGAACUGGAGCCUGCAGUUACAGUGAGGAGGGCCUUUCAGCUAGAAACGGGAAAGUAGCUUCACAAAGUAGAAAUAAGAGGAAAUAGAGUUUGUUUCGGGAGAGGGUGUUAGGAAAAAAAAAGAUUCCAAGCACUUUCAGACACUAGGUGUGGAAUAACAAGGAGAAUGAAGUCCAUAAAGACAACGUCUGGAGAGCAGCUGGAAAACAUUUGGCAGAGAGGUGAUUAGAUGCCUACAGGGCAAGCUGAAACAGAUUCAGGAGAUGCCCCCACUUUGGGUUCAGAAGUUUGCAGCGAGGAAGACUAUGAGCCUUUGCGAGGAAGAGGCGAGGCGGUGUGAGGCCAGGUGAGCCGAGGCCAGGCAAGACAAGGCCAGGAAAUGCCAGGCCAUGUAAUGCAAGGCAAAGCAAAGAAAGGCAAGGUGAGGAAAGGCCAGGCCAGGCCAGACUGGGCAAGGCAAGGCAAGGCCAGGCAGGAGGAGGUAAGGUCAGGCAAGGAAAUGCCAGGCGAAGCCGGGUGAGGCGAGGCAACUCCCAGCCAGGUCACACCAGGUAAAGCCUAGCAAGGCACGGCCAGGCAAGGUCAACCAGGCCAGGUGAGGGAAGGCCAGGCCAGACCAGGUGAG
ensembl:lncRNA